GAUGGCAGAGCCCUCAGACUGAGGCCGAGCUCUGUGUGCCCUGACUGAGCUCUGCUUUCUC
ensembl:miRNA gga-mir-7460 gga-mir-7460